UUAGCGUAAAAACUGCGCAAUUAUGGAAGAGAUAUGCGCACAUAUUAAGUAUUAUUUAAACCGAAAUUGUUCAACGUCAGAUUAUGUGACUAGGACUUCUGAUAUAUCACGCAUCUGUUGUUUUAAAGUACAGAGCAAAAACAUCAUCAUCGUAUAAACCAUCACCACAGUAUUCUAGCGGCGGUGGCGUCGAUUGCCUGGAUGGUACCGCUCCCGACUGUGCUCAACACGAACGCGGCCUCCAGCUGUCCCGGGUAUGCCGGGAGGUCGUCUGUGUACAGGGCUUCACCCGUCGCCUGGGGAGAAAGAAGCGAUUACACGCGAACUGCAGACCUGGGCGUCUGCUUCCAGUUUUUUCAUGGGCUCCGUGACCGGAUACUCCAUCGUGUUUGUAUCGUACGUCUGUUGACCGGACGAGAUGGGGCGCAGGAAGUACAGCUGACUGGCCCCCGACCUGUAUUGCUGCCCGGCCCGGUCACCAACCAUGUACAACACGAACUUGGCACCAUGAAAUGUUCGAAUAUGACAAAUGUUACGAAAUGUGUUGUUACUUCAUUGUGUAUUUGUAUAAUAUUAAGUAAGUAUAAUUAUAAGUCGCACGAGGCUUCAAAAAAUGUUAUGACGACGAAGAUGUAUAGUUUAGACGCUUUAAACUAAAUACCCGGUAAGCACGUGCUAUCUAACUUAACAUUCCGUAACUGUAUUCUAAUGAGCAUACAAUAAACCAGAUCAGUACUUGUUUUCAUAUAAAACGAUAUAAAUAAGAUACACUUGUGUUAAGAAGUUUCAUGGAAGGGGUAUAAUUUUAUUCUGGGGAAGACCUUUUUUCAAAAUUUAAAGAAAUAUCACAAAAAAACUGUGUAUUUAAUGUGUUGUUGUUUUAUAUUGAAAAAUGCUAACCCGAAAAAAAAAUAACUUUGCACAUGGUUACCUUGUAGAAAAGAGACACCGCCAAUUUCGUCCUGUAUGCUGCACUCGACAGUGCGGGGGAGGAAUCCGCGAUGAUCUCCCCUUGAAGAGUGGCCAAAGCCGCUGAAAUGGACAAUUGGACAUGCCCUAAUUGUGAAUCAUUGAUCAAGGGUUGUUGAUCACACUAUGCAUGCUGAUAAAGAUCACAUAAAACAAUUUAAAGCCCGCUCCUUAACCUUCCAUUCUGAAGAUGGUGAAGGGACAUACAAAGUAUCGAGAAAACAAUACUACCACUUUCUGUGUGUUCGUGCACGUGUGCGUGCGUCAGUCCGCCGUAAAUCCACGCAUACACUAUCGAUAUUAUGCACAAUAUAAAUGUUAAAAUUAUUUAAUUAUGCUUUUUAUCCUCUUUUUAUUUUGGCAUUUUUGUUUGUGGAUGUACGUUGAUUUUAUAAAUUCUAAUGGAACGAG